UAUUGAUAUUGGAAUUGUUAUAGGUAAUUGUCCAAUAAGGGCUACUGUCCAUCGACUUUGGGUGGAUCAUGGAGAUUGAAGAAUUGUGUUUUCACCAGUACACUUGCCAUCACAGCAGGUAAUUGUCCAAUAAGGGCUACUGUCCAUCGACUUUGGGUGGAUCAUGGAGAUUGAAGAAUUGUGUUUUCACCAGUACACUUGCCAUCACAGCAGGUAAUUGUCCAAUAAGGGCUACUGUCCAUCGACUUUGGGUGGAUCAUGGAGAUUGAAGAAAUGUGUUUUCACCAGUACACUUGCCAUCACAGCAGGUAAUUGUCCAAUAAGGGCUACUGUCCAUCGACUUUGGGUGGAUCAUGGAGAUUGAAGAAUUGUGUUUUCACCAGUACACUUGCCAUCACAGCAGGUAAGAUGUGUCCCUUUUUUAACUACAGUACAGGU